UCCAGGAAGCAGCCAGGGGUCUGCUCCAGGUGAGGGCUGCAGAUCAGCGGCUAAGACAGCCCCACUGAGGCUGCUUCGUCCGUACCCGAGACCCCAUCCUGCUGGGGAGUGGACCUUGCUCAGGCCAGCAGCUGGGACCACGUGGAGACCAACUGCUCCCCUUCAUCCACUGGUUUAAGGGGGUCUUGUCCCUCCUGACCACCACCUCAGCGUCAGUGGGGAGCGAGCGGACCAAGCUGCGAACCCUGGCCCGCCAAGACUCCUGUGUUGUUCCUGUCAUUCCAACACCAGUGGCCGGCGCUCAGGUCGCCAGGCCACACGCGCUGAGGACCCUGGCUGUGACGCCCUUCUCAUGCUCCGCCUACACAUGGUCUCACUAUGCAGCCCAGGCUGGCUUCAAACUCAAGGCCAUCAUCCUCCUGUCUCAGCCUCCGUAGUCACAGGCCUGUGCCAUCACGCCCGGGUUUACUUUUUGAGAAAAGGUUCCUUUGUCCCACACCGGAACUGUAUUGGAGGGCUCCCGCCUCAGCCUCCCACUGUAUUGGAGGGCUCCCGCCUCAGCCUCCCCCGGGUGCUGGGAUUACAGGCGUGUCCGCCACGCCCAGCUCCACCCUACCGCCGUCUCUCCUUCUCAGUCGCUGAACCGCGGGGCCUGGUGCGGAGCGCUCGGCUCGCUGGUGCGCAGGCCGGGAG
ensembl:lncRNA